AACUCUCUCCCAUUCUGAUGUAGUCAGAAGACACAAAAGCUUGACAUUAAUCUUGCCUGCCUGUGCCUGAAAAAAGAGAAGUGGGACAGACACCACUGAAUAAGUUACAUUUUCACCAUCUCAGUGACACAACUGAAUUGCUCGCUUAUCCCAACCUUAUCUUAGCUGGUGUGCAAUCCUAAUUAAAAGGCUGACGUAAGGAAUACACACAGAGAAAAGCCUGGCACGGAUGUUAUGGAUGAGAUGAUAAACUUUAUGAGCUACCUCCCAUGUAGCUUUUGUAGUUAACUGCUGGAGCUAGAACAGUUGCUCCUAAGUGCACCAUUUCUCAUUUCAGAGGGCUGAAAAUGUUAAAUAAAACAGAGUUGCCCUUUCCAAUAGGUAGCAGCAUUUUGCUGAUCUAAUUAAUCUGUGUAGCUCAUUCUUUCACUGAGAUAACUGAACUGGCAAAUCAGGCUCCAGUCUGCUUUUCCUGAUGCUCAUUUUCAGGGUGAAAAAGGCUGUGGGUAGGAUAAAACCCAUGCCUCUACCUCAUGAACAAUGCUGUCGUGUAGUUAACACAGCAGAAAUAUUUGUUUGAUUAGUUACAUUUUCAGCUUUUAAAGGACAAGAAAAAACAAGCCAUGGGUGGUCUGUAACCUCAGAAGAGCAAAUAUCGUGGGCUGUAAAAUCAUCCCAGCUCAGAAUACUGGGUUGGACAUAAAAAAAGCAUUUAUUGAAUCCCAGGCCUGAGUCAGGAACAGAAGGUGCAUUAAGAGCUUCCAAACUGCAGCCUACCGCCAAUUCAUUAAGUGUUCAGCAUUAUUUAAUAAAAAUGGCUUAUGCAUAUACUUUAACUGAAACACUGUUUAUUCAUAAACAUUUUUAACUACAGUAUGUGUUGGGAGUUAUUCACAUACCAAUUUAGAGACAGUUUCAAAUUCUUCCUUCAAGUAACUGCAUGCAAUUCCCACUGCUGUCUGGCUCAACUAGGCUACCGGUCUGCAAGGAGAGCUUGUCCUGUAUUUUGCAAUUAAACCAAGGAUCUCAGUUGGUUUAUAGAGACCAGAACACACUGCUGUUAAUGUCUUGUUAAUGCAUUAACACUAUAAAACUGCUGUCAUUGGUAUAAAAGCAUUAAAGUGAUUCUAAUGUCCUUAUUGAACCCCAAAUUUGAAUAGAUUUUUGAAAAAAUUCCUCCUUUUUUUUUGGAUAUUUUAUCAGCGAAUUCAUUCUCCGGGUAAGCACAAAAUAAAAUGGUCAGGCUUUCCACAAAACUACAGGAUGCUUCUUGAAAAAACAUAAUGACACCGUUGAAUGCUCAAACAAUGGCUGAGCAGAUUUAAUGCUUCAGCCCACAGUUCUUUGGGUUGCAUUAACAUGACAGUACUCAGAGAGUGGUGAACAACCAAACUAAUAGUAUUUGCUAGUGGUCUCAGGCAACUGUUUGCAAUGGGAUGUUGCAAUGGGACAUCGCAUAGAGAGGGAACAUCAUCAUUUUUAGCCCCAUCCUGUGCAACUACAACCUACCCAAAUACUUCUGAGAUGCUUUCUCAGAACCUCUCUUAUUUUCAAUGCUGUCUAGUUAAAAGGUGCUUAAAGAAGCUUUUCCCCCUCAGAAGAGAGAUUCCUGGAAGAGUCAAAGAAAUUUCUUUUUCCACACUUUCCUGCUCAUUCAUAAGGCACAGGUUCCUCCACCUUCUCUAUUUCCACAAGAUAACACCCAUGCAUAAACCACAGUAACUUCUGACCUGGGAAUGCCAUACCCCGAACACGUUUUUCUCUUUUCUGUGUAAUUUCACAGCUGGAGAUGGAGACGGCCAACACUCUUUGACCUGUUACUUCUCCAAGGGCCGUAUGUAUUCUGCAUCUGGCAAUGGGACAGCUGCUGCUUUAGAACUCUGCCCUUUCUGUCUCCCUUAUCUUUCCUUCUGUCAUCUGCUUAUUUUCCAUUUUUAUGAUAUUCUUUUUUGUUAGAUAAUAAUGCCAUUAGGAUUAGUACUGGCAAGCAGCCAGGACAAAAUGGCAGCACUAAUGACUUUUGUUUGACUUAGGGUCACUGUGAGAUAAUUUAGACCACAGACCUGGGGCCCCACUUUCCCAUGACACUGAAAAAAUCCACACAGAAAAGCAGAAACAUUGAAUGCUUCAAAUCCAAACCUCCCUAAGUUCAUCCUCUUGGGAUAAAGCUUGCAGAAAAGAAUGAGGACUAUAUUUCAACACCCGUAGAUAGGACUCGAGAUGGACUGAACUACUGACUAUCUUUCCCCAUAGUUUUUGUUUUCAGGAGCAGAAUCCAGCAGAGAAAAAUCCAUCACUGUCACUUUCCACCCACUCAACUCAAGGAGUUCUCCCUCCAAGUCUUCCCUUGGAGGACACAGCCUUGCUUAACGCACACCCAAAGCACCUUCUUACCAUGUUGCCAAUGAAGCAUUGUUAAAGGGUGCCCACUAUCCACAAAUCUUUCAGAGAGGAAGGAAUUGGCCUUCAGUCUGGCUUUUUUUUUUUUUUUCCAAUUAAUUUUCAGAACGGAUUUUUUUUUUUUAAUUCUGAAAGCUGCCCCAAAACGUUUCUCCUCUGAACAGGGCAGCAGGACAAUCAGUUAAGGGAAUAUGAAGCAUCUCUUUCCCACUGUUCAAACUGGGGAAAUGUAUAAUUUACCAUAAAUUAUGAAAAGCAAACCAGAAAGUUAAAAUUCACAUGCUGUUAAUGAAGAAACACAGCUAAUGUUCUUUUGAGAUACUCAACCCAAGACCAACUCUCAUGAAGACAUUUUAUUUGACCAUUGUUACAGUGCUGUGAGAAAGCAGGUAGAGAAGGGUCUGCUAAGAGCUAUGUAAGGUAAGCAUCCAGGACACUCUGCAUUUCAAAUCAAACCUCCUUCUCCCAUAGCCAUGAUCUGUAGCUCCUCCACUGAGAGUCCAGAUCCCUCCACUAUUGAGGCUUCCUAUGAAUCAAGGAUUGACGUUUCAGAUGGCAGGAAGCUGUGGUACGUGUACAGAGAUCACAAGAUCCUCCCUCUGUCCCAGCAAGAACAGACUGGGAAGAGUGCAGAAAGCCAAGUGGGAAAGGAAGAAGAGGAAGAGGAGCAGGAGAGGCAGCAGCAGCAGGAGGGGGCCCAUGCCACUGCCCAAUCCUAGCAAAAGCUGAUGUUUUUGUGUGAAGGAGUGCUUGGAACAACAUGAAAAACUCCAGAUCACAGGUGGAAAUGAGACACAGAGAGAGGAAGCCCUCAGAGCCAGGCAGAAGGUGCUCAAGGAUGAGAUGGUAGGGAGACGUUCCCCACAGCUGCUCUCAGACAGCCAGAAGCAUUUACAGGACAGACCAUGGAGUGAGGAAUCAGAAAAGAGCACUUCUGGCAGUGGGUGUGCAGUUGCAUUUCCCCAACACGCACAUCAGCCUGCAAAAUCUCCCCCAUGCUGGCACAGGGGAAUUUGCUCUCUUCUGCUUUCCACUUCUGCUUGACCAUGACAGAGUAUCUUGUAUCUGUCCAGAACAAAUCAACACUGUACAGUGUUUGCAGAGGGUCCCUAUCCUACAUAACAGCAAAGCAUCCCCACGCCUGCCACCAAGCUACCCACAGGCAGCAUCCUGAGCUCUCAGCAGUAUAAGGCUUUUCUGAUCUGGGGAGAUGUCACACUGCCCAGACCAAAAAAGUCACAAAACUGCAGGUGAAUGGAUCUUUAAUAUUCAAAAUCACAUUUUUCACCAAUCAUAACCAAGGGCACAUAGCACAUAUUCAAGGUACAUUGCUUGCUAAGCAACACCUGCAAAGGGGCACAUAGAGAGCAAAGGGAGGAACAGCACAAAUUACAGUUCCAUGCCUCCUUCCGAACUCAUUUAGCAAGUUCUUCAGAGAGCAGCACCUUGAAAUUGCUAGUUGGGUUUCUCCACUAACCCAAGAAAAAAAAAUGCCUUCAAAAGACUAUGACUAGACUUUGAAAGUAUCACAGGAAAAAUACAAACUACUGAUGUGAUUCAAGUUUAGCAUUUUAAUAUUUAAAUAAAAUAUAUUCUAUUUCUAAGAAGCACAAAUUUUGUAAAGGCAGCCUAAGUUAUACAAUAAACUGCAGGAAAGGUUCUUUAACACAACAUAAUGCAACUGAAGAUGAUGUCUCCACCUGUGAGGGACACAAAGUUUGAAGCAAAGAUGUGAGGUAGGUGCCUAAGUGGGAGUUGGAAAAUGAAGGGUUUGGGUUGAUUUACGAGUUUCAGGCAUUAAUUCCUUGCUCUCAUUUCUUACAGCUAAAGGCUGACCAAACUCUCUUCAAGGUUCUUUUCUUUAUAUUUGGAAAGUUUACUCUGCACCAGAGAGAAGGCUGUCUGUCUGGGAAGCACUUGUAUCAGCAUGAAGGAAUCCUUAUAGGAGCAAGUUUUUGAAGAUGCCAUGAUUCGUCAAGUACUUACAUAGUCAUCCUCAUGAAGACCUUGCUUCUGAACAGAACUUUUCACCUCCAAUGAAAACUUCUCAAACUCAGGCUUCACGGUCCUUAGCAGAGUGACAGUCUGGAGGUACGAGUAUGCUUUCUUGGCUUCAAGGUCAUGUUUGUCUCCUCUUCUCCAAGAACCAUUUCCUAAAGGGGAAAACAAGCAUAUUUCCUGCUCCAAACUAGGUACCAUUAUAGGAUUGCCUUCCUUUUUCCACCCAAAAGUCCCCUUUCGUGCACCUUGGGGAGAUAGCAGAAUACAAGGGAAAACUGAACCUUCUCCAGAUGCGAAGAAAACCAGGCAGUGAGGAAUAGCUGGUGGGAAGUAAACAUGCAAACUGAAGGUCAACUAUUCCCUUACUGUAUCUGAUUAUUUUCAAAGGGUGGGGUGAAGCCUGAGUGUGAGAAGACAUCUGGGAACAAAACACACAAGCUGGAUCUCAAACGCAGAGAUAUUUAAGUUAGAAGAAGGGAGGGAGGAUUCAAGCACCAAGACUUUCUUACACAACACUCCACCAGCGACAUUCCUGGACAGUCAGAAAGGCACCAGUAAAGUCAAUAUGAUGAGCAUCACCCUGAAUGGGAGGCACACGGUGCAGCUCUCCCACCGCAGUCAAGGAAAAAACCAUGUGUGCCGUGGCUGCCAUACCAGCCCAACUUUUAGAGGAAAAGGAACAUUUGGAAACAAAAUGGAAUCCUGCGCCUACGCUGUAUUUACACGUGUUUUGUGUCACAGCAAGGGAACAAUUUAACUCAGACCACCAGUAAAGAAACCACAUUUUUAAAAAGCAGGAUAGCUGACUAGUUGUUUAUUAGCAGAGGAGUCCUUCUGCAGAACAGAGACUGGCCACAGCAGGCCCUGAGACCCUGAUCCAAAGCUUCAGGAUGUCCGUGGAAAGGUUCACAUUGUUCUGGAGCAGGUGAAUAAUAAUUAUAGCUAAAAUAUAAAUGAUAACUCAAAUGUAAAUGAUAACUAAAAAAGGCUAGAGGGUACAGUGGUAGCCCUAAGCAGUGUGCCUUUAAAUGUUUACAAAUAAUUAAAAGCUAGACAAUUUAUUGUUUGAACAGCAGCAAUAAUCCCCAUUAUGGCUAAAUGAGCCAAGGCAAAGACUAAUGCUAAACUCCCAAGGGUGAUCUGGAAGCACAAGGGAACCUGGAAUGAGAGAGGUAUUCCUUGGGUUGAGGACCAUGGUGUCAUUUGGACCAAGAGAAGUGAUUUGGGAGUGGAGACAUUAAGGAAGAUGGAAUCCAAGCAUCAAAACCAUGGUGCUCCUCGCACAGCACUACCAGCUGCAUCACAUGGCUGCAAGAGCAAAGUCAUAGACAUACCACCUCUGUCCCCUGAAGCAGGUGAACAGAACUUGCAUUUUGUCCUCCCAGCACCCUGGCACUGCUGCUGGGAAUUAACUGGAGAAUUGCUCUGCUUUCUCAGAAAGCACAUGGGAACGAGCAAAGGACCUGCAUUUUUCUGGAAGUUAAGUCUUUUCUCCCGCAGCUUUUGGUUCCAGGGCAGCUCCUGUCAUUCCCAGCACAAGACAGGAAACACAGGAGCACCUAAGCCCCUUUCCUUCUCUUUUCCACACCAGGAAAGCCUUAUUUAUCACAGCCCAGCACUACUCAGGACAUAUCAUGAACUUGGCUAUUUCUUUCCUUUUCUUUUUUUUUUUUAAAGUGAUUUCAUUUUUUUAGGAAGAAGCUCUAGAUGCAUAUGCCUCCAUUCAGGGACUUUUUCCCCAUACAAAAUUUAACCAGCCAAAAUAACUUACACCAAAACUCUAUUCAUCAGACCCAGUGGAAAUACAGGAGAGCAACUAACAUCCCA